GAUGAACGCUGGCGGCGUGCCUAAUACAUGCAAGUCGAGCGAACAGACGAGGAGCUUGCUCCUCUGACGUUAGCGGCGGACCGGUGAGUAACACGUGGAUAACCUACCUAUAAGACUGGGAUAACUUCGGGAAACCGGAGCUAAUACCGGAUAAUAUAUUGAACCGCAUGGUUCAAUAGUGAAAGACGGUUUUGCUGUCACUUAUAGAUGGAUCCGCGCCGCAUUAGCUAGUUGGUAAGGUAACGGCUUACCAAGGCAACGAUGCGUAGCCGACCUGAGAGGGGGAUCGGCCACACUGGAACUGAGACACGGUCCAGACUCCUACGGAAGGCAGCAGUAGGGAAUCUUCCGCAAUGGGCGAAAGCCUGACGGAGCAACGCCGCGUGAGUGAUGAAGGUCUUCGGAUCGUAAAACUCUGUUAUUAGGGAAAAACAAAUGUGUAAGUAACUAUGCACGUCUUGACGGUACCUAAUCAGAAAGCCACGGCUAACUACGUG
rnacentral:rRNA from 1 species